AAAAAAAAAGAUUAGGAAAUGCUAUUUGUGCAGACCAGGAGGUAGUGGCAAGUGGAGAUGUAGUGUCUCCUCGCCAUUUACAAGACCUGAAUGCUUGUGACAAGUACCUUAACUUUGGGCCAGCUAUAUACCCAUCAUACAUCUGUGAAAUGGGGACACUGGUACUCUUGACUCCAAAGCCAGCCUUAGUCACAAUCUUCUGUGCUUUUUGAGACAAGGUCUCAAGUAGCCCAGGCUGACCUGGAACUAACUCUAUGUAGCUGAGGCUGACUCUGAACUCCUGAUCCUCUCGCCUCUAUCACUUGAGUGCUGGGCUCACAGGCAGUUCCAUUAUGCCUGACACCAUAAUCUAAUUGGUAGUAGUUUUGUAAGAAAAAUGGAAGAGCUUGAGUGUUGACUAAUGCCCAGGGCUAGUUCUGCUCAAUGUGUAUUGACCCUGUAUUGGUCCUGUGGCUUUGGAUAACCUGGGUAGCUAGCUCAUGCUGCUGUUACCACUUGAGGCCCAGCAGGUAGGUACAAUUGGUCUCUAGUUUUCCUUCUGGCUCUGCCCAACUAACACAGACUCCACCGCUGUCAUGGAAGGCCUAGCUUGUCUGGGCUCACACAAGCAAGCUAUGGGACUCAGAAUUCUGCCAUGUAGGAUCUAGAAAUGGUCUUUAAGAUCUUUUAGUCUAACACCCUACUGAUGUUGAGACUCCCCAUCCCCAGCCAGGCUGACAGAAGGCCAGGCUUGCCUAUGUGUUCUCACUUCUAUUUCCAGAGCAAUCUUGUUGGGGACAGCUAGUACAGAACUCUACACAUUUCAGGUUACUCUCUCCCCUGAAGUGCAUACCCAGUACAGAACACAGUCCUCAGCUCCUUGGCUCAUCUGUGAGGAGUGUGAGAAUAACCUGCUUCUCAGAUCGGUGCUAGGAAUGAAGAGCUGUAAUGGAAGCUAAUGGUCCGACAUGUACUAGGCACCAUGCUGGCCCCCUCCUUCCUCUCCAUCCAUCACAAGCCCCUCUCGCUUGGUAGCACAAAGCUGCAUGUGGGGACAAGUGUGUUCAGCAAAUAGCUGCUUAUGACCUUGGUGAGGGCUGGGGAAUAUACUCCAGAGGACUUGCCAUCUGCAGACCUGUCACAGGGGUCCAUCAAGAGCAUGGUGACCUUUACCUAGGAAACAGGUGCUGGUUUGAGCCCUACCUCCUCCAGGUGGUUAGCCUGCGGGAAAAGGCUCAGAAGGAGGCAGACAUGGCAGAGCUUUGCCAACGUCUCCAAGACGAGUCUGGGCUCAUUUGUGCAUAUUCCUGGCUACCAGUUUGGCUCAUCCUGUCCCAGUGGGACAAGGGGACUCCAAGGCAUUAAGCUUGCAGCUGUCGGCUGUGUCCUGGUCCUGGGGGCUGGGGACAAGGUAUCAGUACUCACCAGGUGCACCUGGUCAGGCAGUAGCAGGCAGCAGGCGGUCUGUCACUGUGGAUCUGUAACUGCAGGUGACUUCAACGUGGACAGCAAUCAAGUAUCUUGGGCCCUUAGGAUAAAUCAGUCCCAAGACCCUGAAUGGGUCACAUUGUGAUGUCACAUUGCUGAGGUACCCCUGCUGUGGCUUCUGGAUGUCAGGCGACGGUGUGUGAGAGGAGGGCCUGAGAAGUAAUGAGAUCUCUCUACACUGUAGAGAACACCAGCCUGUGGGACCAGGGAUUCUAUCCUGGGGAGCAAUUCAAAACGGAGUCACCAACUGACAUGGGGCAAGUGCUUGUUGCUGAGCUCAUAACCUGGGUUCGAUUCCCUGAACCCACAUGAUGAAAGGAGAGAACCAGUUUUUACAAGUUGUCCUCUGACCUCCACGUGUGCUCCUUCCUCACAAAUGUAUAUUUAAAAAUGCUUCAUUUUGGAAA